AAGGAGUCUAACAUAUCUGCGAGUAUUUGGGUGUCAAACCCGAGCGCGCAAUGAAAGUGAACGUAGGAGUCACGCGCAAGCUGCAGCUUCGACCGAUCUGGAUUUUUUGAGAUGGAUUUGAGUAAGAGCAUUUAUGUUGGGACCCGAAAGAUGGUGAACUAUGCCUGAAUAGGGCGAAGCCAGUGGAAACUCUGGUGGAGGCUCGUAGCGAUUCUGACGUGCAAAUCGAUCGUCAAAUUUGGGUAUAGGGGCGAAAGACUAAUCGAACCAUCUAGUAGCUGGUUCCUGC
rnacentral:misc_RNA from 1 species